rnacentral:rRNA from 1 species
CGAUAGUGAACCAGUACCGUGAGGGAAAGGCGAAAAGAACCCCGGCGAGGGGAGUGAAAAAGAACCUGAAACCGUGUACGUACAAGCAGUGGGAGCACGCUUAGGCGUGUGACUGCGUACCUUUUGUAUAAUGGGUCAGCGACUUAUAUUCUGUAGCAAGGUUAACCGAAUAGGGGAGCCGAAGGGAAACCGAGUCUUAACUGGGCGUUAAGUUGCAGGGUAUAGACCCGAAACCCGGUGAUCUAGCCAUGGGCAGGUUGAAGGUUGGGUAACACUAACUGGAGGACCGAACCGACUAAUGUUGAAAAAUUAGCGGAUGACUUGUGGCUGGGGGUGAAAGGCCAAUCAAACCGGGAGAUAGCUGGUUCUCCCCGAAAGCUAUUUAGGUAGCGCCUCGUGAAUUCAUCUCCGGGGGUAG